UACGUAGGGUGCAAGCGUUGUCCGGAAUUAUUGGGCGUAAAGAGCUCGUAGGCGGUCUGUCGCGUCUGCUGUGAAAACCCGGGGCUUAACCCCGGGCCUGCAGUGGGUACGGGCAGACUAGAGUGCGGUAGGGGAGACUGGAAUUCCUGGUGUAGCGGUGAAAUGCGCAGAUAUCAGGAGGAACACCGGUGGCGAAGGCGGGUCUCUGGGCCGUAACUGACGCUGAGGAGCGAAAGCGUGGGGAGCGAACAGG
rnacentral:rRNA from 1 species